GACGAACGCUGGCGGCGUGCUUAACACAUGCAAGUCGAACGAAGAGCGAUGGAAGCUUGCUUCUAUCAAUCUUAGUGGCGAACGGGUGAGUAACGCGUAAUCAACCUGCCCUUCAGAGGGGGACAACAGUUGGAAACGACUGCUAAUACCGCAUACGAUCUAAUCUCGGCAUCGAGGGUAGAUUAAAGGUGGCCUCUACAUGUAAGCUAUCACUGCAGGAGGGGAUUGCGUCUGAUUAGUUAGUUGGAGGGGUAACGGCCCACCAAGGCGAUGAUCAGUAGCCGGUCUGAGAGGAUGAACGGCCACAUUGGGACUGAGACACGGCCCAGACGCCUACGGGAGGCAGCAGUGGGGAAUCUUCCGCAAUGGACGAAAGUCUGACGGAGCAACGCCGCGGGAGCGAUGACGGCCUUCGGGUUGUAAAGCUCUGUUAAUCGGGACGAAAGGCCUUCUUGCGAAUAGUGAGAAGGAUUGACGGUACCGGAAUAGAAAGCCACGGCUAACUACGUG
rnacentral:rRNA from 1 species